GGCCGAUUGCUACGGUUACGCGGCCGGUAGUCCUGCGAUGGCGUGCAUCAGAGAGAUGGUCAGCCUCCGCGCCUCACCAGCCGAGCGUAUGUAUGAUCUGCGUGCAUGCGUCUGCCACAGCGUGUGAGUAGAAGUCGGAAGACAACUUUGUGUAGUCGGGUCUCGACUUCCGCCUUUUAUAGGGGGUCCAGUGAUGGAACUCUGGCUUGCAGGACCCUCUGAUUCCAGACACCAUACAUAGACGUUUACAAGAAAUGCGGAGAUAAAAACAGCUGCUCCCAAAGUCAACCAUUUGGGUCCUUAACAGCAGAGAGUCGGUUAGUCGCUCCCGGCGUCGAUGAGCUUUUAUUCAUGCUUAUACUGCUGUAAGUCGUUUUACUUUAAAUAAAUGAAUAAAUAAAUAAAUACUGGCAGUUUGCUUCUGGGAAA